CACAGUCAAGCACAGCUUGGUGAUGGGCGACCGCCCCCGCCCCCGCGCGGAAGGGCCCGCCUCGAAUGCAUCCGGCAGCUGGCACAUCGGGAGUUGCAGCGCAGCACAGUCGCGUAGCAGCACCGGGAGCCGCCCACCGGGAGUCGAAGACACACCGAA
rnacentral:misc_RNA from 1 species